UGCAGUUGCAUAAAUCCUAUGGUGAUGGAGGCGUAUUGCGAUAAGAGGGAUGCCAUAGGCAGUGAUUCAGAGGUGUUGCUGUGUCAAUGGUGCCUGAAAUACGAAUAGCUGCUCGUAAGGUUGAUUAGUUCUUCACGAACGAUGCACGAACCUAGUGACGACAAUGACUGACCUACAGUGUCUUAGAUAUCAUAGACGUUGAUGGUGUUGCUGUCCCAGUUCUGUCUGGAAUCCUAGAAGUUGGUCCUUAGGGUUGAAUGCAUCUUCCGUGGUGGGGGACAAUGAGGUUUUGGCUGGUGCACGGGGCCAUCCUACCUUCUGCCGCUAUGGCAUGCUUUCCGGCUGGAAACGUGGUGGCGGAUUUGAUCAUGGAUUUGGCGGCUGAACUUGCUAGCUGCUGGAAUUUUACAAUUAUAGGGUCUGAAGUGUGAUGGGGAUAAACGGCUUCUUUCAUGUGCUUAGCGUCUGCAUCUGGCGGAAUAAUUGCACUGUUUUAUUACUGCAUUUGGGAUUCCUUACAUAUGAGGUUGUACUAAUGGUUUACAUAAAAUUGUAAAAUAGUUUAAUAUCCUGUUUGCUUUAGGCAUACAGUGUAUGGCGUUUCUUUUAAAUUAAGCUCCCAGUUUAUGGGUAUUUUCGAAAACAACAUUUUUCAUUCAUUCAACAUUCAUUUUUGCGUGUUUAGUAAGUUAAAGCUCCGGGCCAAAUGCGAGGAAUAAUUUUUGCACUUAGGAAAGAGAAGACGAGGGUUGACGUCAGCGGCUGAUAAGGCAUUAAUUUUACGAAGUCUGUGCUGUAAAACGAUGCGUUAAGGAUAGAGAAAGGAAAUGGGUUAUUCGAUUUUGGUGAAAAACUUCUUGCAUAAUAAUGUACAUCUCGAAAAAUACAAUUAAAACUAAUGUAUGUUUUUGAUUUAAGUUUAGACCUGGUUGACAGCAAGAAAAAAACAAGAGUCACUGAAUAAGAGAUGAUGGACUUGUAGAAAGAUGGCAUCGGCAAAAUCAAUCCAAUAUGCUUCAUUAAUGACCGUUUUGGCUGGACUGUGUAAUUAAGCAUCAACUUCAGUAAACAAGCACAUAGUCGAAAAAGAAUUAAACGUACAAUUUUGUAUGGUAUAAUUGAAAAUCA